GGACCAAGGAGUCUAGCAUGUGCGCGAGUCAUUGGGAUUUUUACUAAACCUAAAGGCGCAAUGAAAGUGAAGGUCCGCCUUGCGCGGACCGAGGGAGGAUGGACCGUUCCGAGGGACGGCCUCGCACUCCCGGGGCGUCUCGCUCUCAUCGCGAGAAGAGGCGCACCCAGAGCGUACACGCUGGGACCCGAAAGAUGGUGAACUAUGCCUGGUCAGGACGAAGUCAGGGGAAACCCUGAUGGAGGUCCGUAGCGAUUCUGACGUGCAAAUCGAUCGUCGGAACUGGGUAUAGGGGCGAAAGACUAAUCGAACCAUCUAGUAGCUGGUUCCCUCCGAAGUUUCCCUCAGGAUAGCUGGCGCUCGCUUCUCGCGAGUCUCAUUCGGUAAAGCGAAUGAUUAGAGGCAUUGGGGUCGAAACGGCCUCAACCUAUUCUCAAACUUUAAAUGGGUGAGAUCUCCGGCUUGCUUGAACUGUGAAGCCGCGAGAUAUCGGAUCAGAGUGCCAAGUGGGCCACUUUUGGUAAGCAGAACUGGCGCUGUGGGAUGAACCAAACGCAGAGUUAAAGCGCCUAAAUCGACGCUUAUGGGAUACCAUGAAAGGCGUUGGUAACUUAAGACAGCAGGACGGUGGCCAUG
rnacentral:rRNA from 1 species